GUUUGAACAACGCAGCAAGGCGGGAUGCAACAGACAGUAGGCUUGCAGAAAGUUACUACCUACGGAGCAGCACUGGACUUACUGAAAUCCAUGACAUCCACACCAAGCGCACUACUGUUCUCCACGCCCUUCCUGUGUAUCUGCGCGAGGACGUCUCUGGAUUUUUAAGAACCUGCACGGAUGAGUCCGAUGAGCCAGAGCUUGAUGGUGUUUGCAGUGGGCUUCAUUACUUUCAUCAGUGACUAUGACGCAAGUCCAGUUCACUACCACCCUGUGAGAAUCACUGUCGUCAUUGAA